AUAUAAAUUAAACAACAUAGAUUACAGCGAUAGAAGUGAAUGUGAAUUAUUAAU
rnacentral:guide_RNA from 1 species